GAUGAACGCUAGCGGCAGGCCUAACACAUGCAAGUCGAGGGGUAGAAUUAGCUUGCUAAUUUGAGACCGGCGCACGGGUGCGUAACGCGUAUGCAAUCUACCUUGUACAGGGGGAUAGCCCAGAGAAAUUUGGAUUAAUACUCCAUGGUAUAAUUGAAUCGCAUGGUUUGAUUAUUAAAGUUCCAACGGUACAAGAUGAGCAUGCGUCCCAUUAGCUAGUUGGUGUGGUAACGGCAUACCAAGGCGACGAUCUGUAGCGGGUCUGAGAGGAUGAUCCGCCACACUGGGACUGAGACACGGCCCAGACUCCUACGGGAGGCAGCAGUGGGGAAUUUUGGACAAUGGGGGCAACCCUGAUCCAGCCAUGCCGCGUGAGUGAAGAAGG
rnacentral:rRNA from 1 species